GACUGGCACAGUUGUUGGCUUAGUGCCAGUCAUCCUCAAGCAAAAAGAGAAAGACUGGCGACAGACAGUUCAGGGCCAGUCUUCCUCACACACACGCGUCUUCUGAUGAACAUGAGCUCUUGAUUUUAAUUCAGUACAAUUUUCACUCUCUCCCUAAUCUGAGGUCAUGAAGAUAUUCUACUGUGUCGUUUCAAAAAGCUGUAUCGUUGCACACUCACUCAGAUGUGGGUGUAAUGCACCUGGAUUUAGCCUGUGAUCUGAGACGGCUUAGCUUUCCCAGACGGCCUUCACCUGCCCAGCAUCAUCCAUGAGCCUGCCUCUGCCGGGCCCUCUGCUCCGUGCCGGCGCCUCGGUCAGAAAUCAACUUGCAACAUGCACAGGGCUGCUUCCAGCCCAGGACAGUCUCUGUUGUCGGAGGUGUCUGUAGCUCCAGCACGUCUACCUGCACGGCAGCUCUGGUGGCACCCGGAGGACAGUACAGUAAGGAGAGGAUGAAGGCAGACCACCCAAGAGCGAACAAUUCAUGUACUAGAAAAACCUCAGUGAACCAGCUCCAAGUUGCUUUACGUUGGCCUGGCCGGCACAAGCACCUCUCUAAUGCACAGGACGGCCAGGGUCUGUCUGGGAGCCCCGGCCCCUCAGCCUAUGCCUGUCAGCAGAGGCUGCAGUGACUUCAGAGCUGCCCACACACCCCCUUCCUGAGACCGCUCGUCUGACUACAUCUUCAUCAAGGUUGCUGACCAUACUUCCGAGUACUCCAACGCCUUCUAACGCCGAAGUAUCACUCUAAAAGCUCCUGCAUGAGUCCUCAACUAGCCCCCCUUCCUUCCCUGGGACUCAAGGUGACACUCAGCCUGCUCUGGCCCUGUGGCAGGAAACAGUACAUGGGCCCCUGCUUUGGGCAUGGUUCUCUUUCUCUAGGCUCAAUCUACAUUAUUCAGAUUCUGGGCCUGGCUCAGUUUCCCUGAGGAGGCCAAAGUGCUGCCCAGGUCACCUGCAGGGUCUGACAUACUGGAGUCUAAGGGGGUGCUUUUUUCUGACAUGAAAUGGGAGGGAGUUUCCACACCAAUAACUAAUUCUCCAACACCCACUGGCCAUCCAACUGUCCAUGUCAGCUUCGAGGGCAGGUCCCACGAGACAAAGGGCUCAGUCCCACGAGGCUGCCCCUACGUUAGACACCAGCCACAAAUCUGUGGGACAUCUACACUACCCACACUUCUGCCUGGCCUGGCAGCCUACAGAUUCCGAGGUUCCUACAACGUCCCCCCCCCCCC